rnacentral:rRNA from 2 species
AUUAUGGAAACCUGUACCGAGAACGGACACACGUCCCCGAGAUGAGUAUUCUAAGGCGAGCGAGAAAACUAGUGUUAAGGAACUCUGCAAAAUGACCCCGUAAGUUCGCAAGAAGGGGCGCCUAAGGUAACACUUAGGCCACAGUAAAUUAUGAGGGGCAACUGUUUAUCAAAAACACAGCUCUCUGCUAAACCGCAAGGUGAUGUAUAGGGGGUGAAGCCUGCCCAGUGCCCGAAGGUUAAGUGGAUGCGUUAGCAUUUGCGAAGCGUUGAAAUGAAGCCCGGGUGAACGGCGGCCGUAACUAUAACGGUCCUAAGGUAGCGAAAUUCCUUGUCGGCUAAAUACUGACCUGCACGAAAGGCGCAAUGAUCUCUCAACUGUCUCAACACUAGACUCGGUGAAAUUAUGGUCCCAGUGAAAACGCUGGGUACCCGCAUCAAGACGAAAAGACCCCAUGGAGCUUUACUACAGUUUCGUAUUGGAACUUGGUCUAACAUGUGUAGGAUAGGUGGGAGACUUUGAAGCGAGGACGCUAGUUCUCGUGGAGUCAUCCUUGAAAUACCACCCUUGGUAUAUUGAGUUUCUAACAUGCCAUCAUCAUCAGGUGGGUGGACAGUGCGUGACGGGUAGUUUGACUGGGGCGGUCGCCUCCUAAAGAGUAACGGAGGCGUUCAAAGGUACACUCAGUACGGUCAGAAACCGUAUGUAGAGCGCAAAGGUAGAAGUGUGCUUGACUGUGAGACUUACAAGUCGAGCAGGUGCGAAAGCAGGACUUAGUGAUCCGGCUGUACAUUGUGGAAUGGCAGUCGCUCAACGGAUAAAAGUUACCCUGGGGAUAACAGGCUUAUCUUGCCCAAGAGAUCACAUCGACGGCAAGGUUUGGCACCUCGAUGUCGGCUCAUCGCAUCCUGGAGCUGGAGUCGGUUCCAAGGGUUGGGCUGUUCGCCCAUUAAAGCGGUACGCGAGCUGGGUUCAAAACGUCGUGAGACAGUUUGGUCCCUAUCUGAUGUGGGCGUUGAAAUAUU